AACAAUAGAUAAUAAAUAAUUAUGUUUAAAAAAAUUUAUUAAAGGUUUAUUUUAUAUAUAAAUUAUAGUGUUAAAUUAUUAUUAUUUUAAUAAUAAUAAUGAUAUUUUAAUAGUAAAUAAAAUUAAAAAUUUAAGAAAUUAAGAUUUAGUAAUACAAAAAUUAAUAACAAAUUUUGUGCCAGCAGUUGCGGUUAAACAAAAGUUAAAUUAAAUUAUUUCAGUUUAUAAGUAAUAAAUAGUGAAUUAAAAUAAAUAUUAAAUUAUUAGGUAAAAUUUUAAUUUAAUUAAAUUUUAUAUAAAAAUUUAUGUUUUAAAAAAUUUUAUUUUAAACUAGGAUUAGAUACCCUAUUAUUAAAAAUUUAAGUUAUAAUACUAAAAUAGUAAAUAAUUAUUUAUUGAAACUUAAAUAAUAUGGCGGUAUUUUAGUUCAUUUAGAGGAAUCUGUUUAAUAAUUGAUAGUCCACGAUUAAAUUUACUUAAUUAAGAAUUUUAUAUAUCGUUGUUAAAAAAAUAUUUUUAAUAAAAAAUAAUAUUUAAAAAUUAAAAUAAAAAAUUAAUUCAGAUCAAGAUGUAGAUUAUAAUUAAGAAUAUAAUGGAUUACAAUAAAAUUAUUUAAAUGAAUAUAUUAUUGGAAAAUGAUAUUGAAGGUGGAUUUAAAUGUAAUUUUAUUUAAUAAAAUAAAAUGAUUUAAAAUUAAAAUAUGUACAUAUUGCCCGUCACUUUCAUUUAAAAAUGGAAUAAGUCGUAACAAAGUAGAGGUACUGGAAGUGUUUCUAGAAA
rnacentral:ncRNA from 1 species